rnacentral:rRNA from 1 species
UCGCCUGUUUAUCAAAAACAUCGCCUCUCGCUAAUAAAUAGACGUAUAAGAGGUCCCGCCUGCCCAGUGACAACUCCGUUAAACGGCCGCGGUAUUAUAACCGUGCAAAGGUAGCGUAAUCAUUUGUCUUUUAAAUGAAGACCUGUAUGAAUGGCAUAACGAGGAUUUAACUGUCUCCUUCCUCCAGUCAAUGAAAUUGAUCUACCCGUGCAGAAGCGGGCAUGAAAACAUAAGACGAGAAGACCCUGUGGAGCUUUAGGCUAAAGAUCCAAGCAUGUAAAAAAAUUUACCCAAACGAAAGAAACAAAAUAAAUUUAAACCUAAUGCACCAAUGAUCACAUGCCUUCGGUUGGGGCGACCCUGGGGAAAAAUAAAGCCCCCAAGAUGGAAUGAAUUUACCUUCCAAACCAAGAGAAACACCUCUAAGUAACAGACAAAUCUGACCAAACAUGACCCGGGAUAAAACUUACCCGAUCAAUGAACCAAGUUACCCCAGGGAUAACAGCGCAAUCCUUUCCCAGAGUCCCUAUCGACGAAAGGGUUUACGACCUCGAUGUUGGAUCAGGAUAUCCUAAUGGUGAAGCCGCUAUUAAGGGUUCGUUUGUUCAACGAUUAAUAAUCCUACGUGAUCUGAGUUCAGACCGG